rnacentral:rRNA from 1 species
GACGAACGCUGGCGGCGUGCCUAAUACAUGCAAGUAGAACGCACAGUUUAUACCGUAGCUUGCUACACCAUAGACUGUGAGUUGCGAACGGGUGAGUAACGCGUAGGUAACCUGCCUGGUAGCGGGGGAUAACUAUUGGAAACGAUAGCUAAUACCGCAUAAUAUUAAUUAUUGCAUGAUAAUUAAUUGAAAGGUGCAAUUGCACCACUACCAGAUGGACCUGCGUUGUAUUAGCUAGUAGGUGAGGUAACGGCGCACCUAGGCGACGAUACAUAGCCGACCUGAGAGGGUGAUCGGCCACACUGGGACUGAGCCACGGCCCAGACUCCUACGGGAGGCAGCAGUAGGGAAUCUUCGGCAAUGGACGAAAGUCUGACCGAGCAACGCCGCGUGAGUGAAGAAGGUUCUCGGAUCGUAAAGCUCUGUUGUAAGAGAGGAACGGGUGUGAGAGUGGAAAGUUCACACUGUGACGGUAUCUUACCAGAAAGGGACGGCUAACUACGUG